AGUCAACGACGGACCUCGAUAAUGAUAGCUUUAGUGGUCUAUUUCGGCGUGGAUUUUCUCUUUCUCACAAGAUGUUAGCACUGACAGUAAAUUAACACAAUUACAUUGUUCUUACAAGACCUCGUGAACGCUAUUUAAUUAAUCUCAACGUUGGUAAUUGCAAUAAGUUAAAAGGACGCGGACCGCUUUAAGGCGUCGCAACGGGUCAGUAAAUCGGGCCAACGGUUACUUUCAGUGUGCCCUGAAAGUCAGCUUGGUGACGCUCUCCCACUGUGCUGGAGUGCUGGAGAUAAAAACACAGACACACACACACACUCCUCCCACCAUUCAGCACGUUGAAUUACCCUGCCGGUGAGUGUGUGUGUGUGCGUGUGCGUGUGUCGGUGCUCACACAGAGACGAGGAGGCACGCUUUAACUACAGAGAGAGGACCGAACAACACACGGGACGGAGUAACCGAGAAUAUGAAACGGGACUUCUUUUAGCGAACGUUUGACCGAAGCCUCCGCCGCCCUCCGCACACACAACCGGCUUUCUUUCUCCUCCUUUUUGUUUUCGGUGUAAAAACUUCGGCGCUGUCAGCAUUCAGCAUUCGCCGACCACCCACCUCUUCUCGCACGUUACUUUCGACACCGGGAGUUGUCCCCGUUUGACUCCCGGGGCAGGAGGAGGCUCAUCACCGGGGCAGGAAGGGAGAGAAAAGCCUCCCCCCCCCCCACUUCACCGUGUGCCGUGUAGCUAACUGAAAUCAAAGGAAAGUGAUACGGUUAGCAGCCCAGCAGGCAGGAUUUUUUGUUGUCGUCAGUGGGAUGUUAGAGCUCUGGAAGCAGGACUGACUGAAGGAGCAUGGUGAAACACCAACCCCUCCAGGUCUAUGAGCGCCAGCUGUGUUUGUCAUGUAUCACUGGGCUCUACGGUUGCCGCUGGAAACGCUAUCAACGUUCCCAUGAUGACACCACCAAGUGGGAGCUGCUGUGGUCCAUCAUCCUCCUCUUUACCUUCUGCCUGCUGCUGGUCUGGUUCUACUUCUGGUGGGAGGCGCACAACGACUACAAUGAGUUCAACUGGUUCCUCUACAACUGCUCCGGGGAGUGGAGCGAUGGCACGGUUCCCAUCCUGGCCACCACCGCUGCUGGCUUCACCUACAUUGCAUUUUUAAUGGUUCUUGCACUUUGUCAUGUUGCACUUGGGCAACAGUUGAAUUUGCACUGGCUCCAUAAGAUUGGAGUGACUGCUGCGCUGCUCACCACCACGGUCGGGGUGAUAUCUGUCAAUCAAACAUGGGGACAAGAGUGGGACGUCAUCCCCAUCUCACUGCAGGCCACAGGUCCCUUCCUGCAUAUAGGGGCUCUUGCUGCGGUCACAGCUCUGUCUUGGAUUGUGGCUGGACAGGUCGCCCGAGCAGAGAAAACAAUGUUCCAGGUGGUGGUCGUGCUGCUGUAUCUCAGCGUGUUACUGGGACUCUACUUGGUGCCCCUGUACAUCACCUCCCCCUGCAUCAUGGACCCAACCACCCUCAAACAGCGGCCUGACGUCAUUGGCCACCAGGGAGCCCCCAUGCUUGCUCCAGAGAACACACUGUGGUCCUUCCAGAGAGCUCUGCAGAUGAACGUCACUGGAUUCGAGGCUGACGUUGCUAUCAGUGUGGAUGGAGUGCCUUUCCUGAUGCACGACCACACCCUGCGGAGGACCACAGACAUAGAGAAGGUUUUCCCGGACAGGCAAAUGCAAGACGCCUCAUUCUUUAACUGGACAGAUCUGCAGCAGCUCAACGCGGGACAGUGGUUCCUCAAGGAGGACCCUUUCUGGACGGUGCACACCCUGUCACCGCGGGAGAAGCAUCUGAUUGCCAACCAGAGUGUGUGCAGCCUGGAGCAGCUUCUAAAGCUGGCUUCCUAUCAUAACAGCACAGUGGUUUUCCGGCUGAGGAGACCUCCUCCAACGCACCCCUGCCACCACAGCUGGAUCAAUGACACACUGCAGGCUGUGCAGCAAUCUGGGGUUCCUCAGAACCUGGUGAUGUGGACUCCAGAUGAACACAGAGCUCAGGUGAGACAGCUGGCUCCCGGUCUGAUCCAGACCUCCGUGGAGAAACAGAGUCCUCAAAGUCUCCAACAGUACGGCAUCAGCAGGCUGCUGCUCAGAUACAACCAGGCCAGCACAGAGGAGAUCAGAAACUUCUCCCAGAGCAACAUCAACCUCACUCUCUACACCAUCAACGAGCCCUGGCUGUACUCGGUGCUCUGGUGCAGCGGGGUGUCUUCAGUCUCCUCCGAGGCCUCGCAUAUCCUCAAAAAGGUGCCUUACCCCAUCUGGCUCAUGAGACCAGAUGAAUACUGCCUGAUGUGGGUGUCUGUGGACCUCAUCUCCUUUGCUGUAGUCGUAGGAAUAUUCAUUUUCCAGAAGUAUCGGAUGAGCGGCAUGCGGAGCUACAACCCCGAGCAGAUCAUGCUGAGCGCCGCGGUCAGGAGGUCCAGCAGAGACCUCAACGUCAUGAAGGAGAAACUUAUCUUCUCUGGUCAAGCCCAGUAGCGGCCUGUGUGAUGUGCACCACCUCCUGUCCAUGCUACCACCUCCUCCUCCAGCAGUGACCUCUUCCUUUUUAUUGCAUCCAUUGCAUCCCUCGUUGCCUGCCACUUCUCUGCCCUUCUCCCCUUCAUCCACCCCUUCAUGCACCAAACCUCCCCCACUGCCCUCCCACUGGAGACCACGUCAUGCGUAGGGGGGAGCUUAUAGACGCCCCAGUCUGUCUAGAGAGCCUCGAGUGCUGGGGGUCAAAGAGGUGGGGAAUGGAGUCGGCGGUGCUGAUGAGCUGUUUCCGGACGAGGGCUACGACUACUACACCAAUCAGGGCAUCAGCCAGUGAUUGUGCCCGUGUGACUCUGCUGUGGUGAGGCGCCGGCGGCAGCGCUCCCUCCCGGUGUUUACAUCCUUCCUGAACUCCUCGUCCUGUCCUACUGAUGAACUGACAGACUGCUGUAUCUGAUGGAGAAGACCACCACCCGGUUGCUUUGUGUACAUUCUGUAAAUAGUUUUGUGUCUUGCUUGUCAGACAUACUGUAUAUCACACGGGACUACACGCACUUUUUAUUAAUGGAAUUCGCCAAAUCUGUGGCCUCCUCUCCCGCAUCUAAAUGUCCGAGAGGCCCCCUCCUGAGUUACCAACGCCAGCUUCUUUUUUUUAAAUUUUUUUUUUUAAAGAUGCGUUUCCAGAUUCUUUUUGUUUUUUAAGCUAAUUUUCCCAAAGCGGUUUCUUGUUUUUAAACCACUGUACACAAUAUUCUUCUCUCUGCAGAUGGAUUUCUUUAUAAAAACAGGGCUUUUCACGAGGCUUAAUCCACAGCAUGAGACUAAAAAGCUAACGGCUCGUUAUGCUCUCGCCUUCCUUCAGCACGCCGCCGUGCCGCGUUUCACAGAAGUACUAACGUUGAUAUUUAUAUUUAAAGAUGAAAAAGAAGAAAACAUGAACAAGCUGUUUACAGAAGUCCUGCCUUCUCCUGUAUGUAAGAUAAUCAUUUUGAUAGAGGCUGAAAGCCCCCCCACACCUGCCCUACUUUUGACCAGUGCAUGUAACUGUAAUGAUGAACUGACGCAUGUGAGCUGUGCUCCCAGUACAACUGGUAAAUGGUUUGAGGGGGUGAAGAUGUGUGCCGUCUUUGUGGUUAACGUGAAUGUGUUUUGGAUUCGUUUUUUAAAGAUGUGAACGGUGCGUGUGUGUGUUCUAGCUGGGUAUAUUUUUUUUUUACCCUGUGUGCAGUGCUAUGUUGAGUGUAUUAUUGUACAUAAAAGGAGUGUGUGUGUGUGUGCGUGCGUGUUGCUCCAGCCAACUAAGCAUUACAUUUGAACAAUGUGACAGUGAUGAAUAAUAAUUAGCAAUAUCCUGGUCAAGGUGGGAGUCACUACACUUCCUCCACAGCCUCUGAACUGCAGCCUGUGGUGUUCUGUUGUUGGCGGACUGCAUCGUGAUGUUGGUUGCUGGUGUUAAACCGACUGCUGUAGGUAAAUGAAGUGGGUGCUAAAUGUGAACAUGAAGCUGCAAGCGCCAAGUAUCGCAACAGGCAGCACAGGGUCAAGAAAUGAACUGCUUUGUGUUUAUUUUCUUUAUUUGGGUGUUAUUGUGCCUCCAGAAGUAAAAAAAUAAAAUAAAUCUUCACAUGAG